rnacentral:rRNA from 1 species
UAGAUUGGUGAUAGCACGUUAAAAGUCCCAAGUUCCCAUAAGGAUGACCGAAGUUAAGCAACUUUGCACGUGUUUAGUAUCCGGCUGGGUGACCAUUUGGGUAAUCGGCCACUGCUGGCU